rnacentral:rRNA from 1 species
AUUGAACGCUGGCGGCAUGCCUUACACAUGCAAGUCGAACGGUAACAGGUUAAGCUGACGAGUGGCGAACGGGUGAGUAAUACAUCGGAACGUGCCCAGACGUGGGGGAUAGCUCGGCGAAAGCCGGAUUAAUACCGCAUAAGCUCUGAGGAGGAAAGCGGGGGACCGUAAGGCCUCGCGCGUUUGGAGCGGCCGAUGGAAGAUUAGGUAGUUGGUGGGGUAAAGGCUUACCAAGCCAACGAUCUGUAGCUGGUCUGAGAGGACGACCAGCCACACUGGGACUGAGACACGGCCCAGACUCCUACGGGAGGCAGCAGGGGGGAAUUUUGGACAAUGGGCGAAAGCCUGAUCCAGCAAUGCCGCGUGCAGGAUGAAGGUCUUCGGGUUGUAAACUGCUUUUGUACGGAACGAAAAGGAGCCUACUAAUACUGGGUGUUGAUGACGGUACCGUAAGAAUAAGCACCGGCUAACUACGUGCCAGCAGCCGCAGUAA